rnacentral:rRNA from 1 species
GAUGAACGCUGGCGGCGUGCCUAAUACAUGCAAGUCGAGCGAACGGACGAGAAGCUUGCUGCUCUGAUGUUAGCGGCGGACGGGUGAGUAACACGUGGAUAACCUACCUAUAAGACUGGGAUAACUUCGGAAAACCGGAGCUAAUACCGGAUAAUAUUUUGAACCGCAUGGUUCAAAAGUGAAAGACGGUCUUGCUGUCACUUAUAGAUGGAUCCGCGCUGCAUUAGCUAGUUGGUAAGGUAACGGCUUACCAAGGCAACGAUGCAUAGCCGACCUGAGAGGGUGAUCGGCCACACUGGAACUGAGACACGGUCCAGACUCCUACGGGAGGCAGCAGUAGGGAAUCUUCCGCAAUGGGCGAAAGCCUGACGGAGCAACGCCGCGUGAGUGAUGAAGGUCUUCGGAUCGUAAAACUCUGUUAUUAGGGAAGAACAUAUGUGUAAGUAACUGUGCACAUCUUGACGGUACCUAAUCAGAAAGCCACGGCUAACUACGUG